rnacentral:rRNA from 1 species
UAGGGAAUCUUCCACAAUGGGCGCAAGCCUGAUGGAGCAACACCGCGUGAGUGAAGAAGGGUUUCGGCUCGUAAAGCUCUGUUGUUAAAGAAGAACAUAUCUGAGAGUAACUGUUCAGGUAUUGACGGUAUUUAACCAGAAAGCCACGGCUAACUACGUACCAG